AUGCAGAACCAAACACAUGUUGGCCUUCAUAUGAUAUAACAACUUUUAGAAACAGCAGUUAUGCCAGAGAGAAAACAAGAAAGGCUGAAUUUACAUCAGACUUAACAUUUGAAACUGACAAUGACAAAGUCGGCAAACAAAAAAUCUUCAAAAAGAUUUAUUAAUCAUCGGAUGAAGAAGUUGAAGAAUAUACUAAAAUACGAACGCCUCCAACUAUAAAAGAAUCAUCAAAAAGUAUAUGCGGCGAAAACACAUCAAGUAACAAACGUCAAUUACAAACAGUUAAUUCAGUGGCUGGCAAAGUUUCAUAUGAACGUAGUAAGCAUAUAUCAGGAACAGUUUGGGAUACUUGCAAUAAUUAUUAUUCAUCGCAAAAUGAUGAACGUGAAGUACAAGUAAUGAAACAGAAUAUGUGUGCAAUAAAACUGUGCUUAAGUAUUUCAAAGAAAUAAUUCGUCAGCAGUCUUAUUGUAUUAUUAUAUAUAAACGCAAUUGUGGCAAAUGGCAGAUGAUGUGAGAGACAUUAAAAAUGAUCUGCUGCAACAAACCUUUUAAAGACAAAAUGUGAAUCAAAAUGCGAGAGAAAAAUCAAUUUAUUCUUUUCUGAUCUUCCUUUUAACUCUGUGAAAGAUUUAAAAGAACAUGUCCAGCAAUUUUUGAACCAGCCGAAUAAUUUCAAAGCAUCGGUUGCAGAAAUUUCUCGCAUUGGAGGAAAAUCACCAUACGAAUUUAUAAAACGCAAUUGUAGUCGUUUACUGACCAACGAAUUGAAAAAUAUAGCUGGUUUGGAGCGAAAGCAAAAUGAAAAUUUUGCUAUUUAAAACUCGCUGACUUGCUAGUUUGUAAGAAUGUGAUAUCCCACACAGCACGUAAUAUUAUAUAAUAUCACAGUAAUAUUAUAUAAUAUCACAGUAAUAUUUCCAUAAUAUUGUUACAAUAUAUUUGAUUAUAUAUUUAAAUAAGAUUUAAUUAAAUGCUAUCUACUUAUUUCAGUGGCAAGUGAACUAAAUUAAAGAGAGGUGUUCUUAAAUUGCGUUUAUUUGCAAGGUAUAUUAAAUAUAUUUAAAACAACAAUAUCUACUUGGUUAUGGUAGUAUAAAUAAAUAAAUAAAUAUAAAUUUAUUCAUAUUAUCAUUAUGUGGUAUUCAUGAUAUGUAAAAAUACUAAUAUAAAAAAAUUCAUAGAUUUUAAGUUACUUAUAUUGUCUUAUAAAUAUAU